GCAGAGACCUUGUCAAAGACGAGAGAGACGUUGUCCAUGAUCAGAGACAUUGUCCCAUGCUUUGCAGAGCUCUGCGCAAGAAUCGGUAGAGACACUGUGGUUCCUCGAUUCGACGGCAUGACCGCGAUCAUGGAGAUAUUUGUCGAUGAUUACAGAGACACCGUCUAUGAUCUCAGAGACAUCGUCCACGAUCACAAAGACAUUGUCCAUGAUCACAGAGACUUUGUCCAUAAUCUCAGAGACAUUGUCCGCGAUCACAGAGACGUAGUCCACGAUCACAGAGUCUUCGUACAAUGAAGAAGUUCUUUGAGACCAGGACAGAGGCCUCCAGGUGUCACCACUUCAUCCACAACAUCAUCUACGAUCGCCGAGACAUGGUCCAUGGUCGGAGAGACAUUGUUGAGGAUGAGGGAGACAUCGUCCACGAUCAGAGACACUGUCCACGAUCGCAGAGACCUUGUCAAAGACGAGAGAGACGUUGUCCAUGAUCAGAGACAUUGUCCCAUGCUUCGCAGAGCUCUGCGCAAGAAUCGGUAGAGACACUGUGGUUCCUCGAUUCGACGGCAUGACCGCGAUCAUGGAGAUAUUUGUCGAUGAUUACAGAGACACCGUCUAUGAUCUCAGAGACAUCGUCCACGAUCACAAAGACAUUGUCCAUGAUCACAGAGACUUUGUCCAUAAUCUCAGAGACUUUGUCCGCGAUCACAGAGACGUAGUCCACGAUCAAAGAGAGUCUUCGUACAAUGAAGAAGUUCUUUGAGACCAGGACAGAGGCCUCCAGGUGUCACCACUUCAUCCACGACAUCAUCUACGAUCGCCGAGACAUGGUCCAUGGUCGGAGAGACAUUGUUGAGGAUGAGGGAGACAUCGUCCACGAUCAGAGACACUGUCCACGAUCGCAGAGACCUUGUCAAAGACGAGAGAGACGUUGUCCAUGAUCAGAGACAUUGUCCCAUGCUUCGCAGAGCUCUGCGCAAGAAUCGGUAGAGACACUGUGGUUCCUCGAUUCGACGGCAUGACCGCGAUCAUGGAGAUAUUUGUCGAUGAUUACAGAGACACCGUCUAUGAUCUCAGAGACAUCGUCCACGAUCACAAAGACAUUGUCCAUGGUUGCAGAGACAUUGUCCAUAAUCUCAGAGACUUUGUCCGCGAUCACAGAGACGUAGUCCACGAUCAACGAGAGUCUUCGUACAAUGAAGAAGUUCUUUGAGACCAGGACAGAGGCCUCCAGGUGUCACCACUUCAUCCACAACAUCAUCUACGAUCGCCGAGACAUGGUCCAUGGUCGGAGAGACAUUGUUGAGGAUGAGGGAGACAUCGUCCACGAUCAGAGACACUGUCCACGAUCGCAGAGACCUUGUCAAAGACGAGAGAGACGUUGUCCAUGAUCAGAGACAUUGUCCCAUGCUUCGCAGAGCUCUGCGCAAGAAUCGGUAGAGACACUGUGGUUCCUCGAUUCGACGGCAUGACCGCGAUCAUGGAGAUAUUUGUCGAUGAUUACAGAGACACCGUCUAUGAUCUCAGAGACAUCGUCCACGAUCACAAAGACAUUGUCCAUGAUCACAGAGACUUUGUCCAUAAUCUCAGAGACUUUGUCCGCGAUCACAGAGACGUAGUCCACGAUCAAAGAGAGUCUUCGUACAAUGAAGAAGUUCUUUGAGACCAGGACAGAGGCCUCCAGGUGUCACCACUUCAUCCACGACAUCAUCUACGAUCGCCGAGACAUGGUCCAUGGUCGGAGAGACAUUGUUGAGGAUGAGGGAGACAUCGUCCACGAUCAGAGACACUGUCCACGAUCGCAGAGACCUUGU